GUCUUCGGCCAUACCACGUUGAAAGCACCAGUUCUCGUCCGAUCACUGAAGUUAAGCAACGUCGGGCUCGGUUAGUACUUGGAUGGGUGACCGCCUGGGAACACCGAGUGCUGUAGACU
rnacentral:rRNA from 1 species